UACGUAGGGAGCAAGCGUUGUCCGGAAUCAUUUGGGCGGUUAAAAGGCGCGCGUGAGGUUGGCCAUGUAAGUCCGCUGAUGAAAGGUCAAAGGCUCAACCCUUUGAAAGCCGGUGGAUACUGCACGGCUAGAGUACGGAAGAGGCGAGUGGAAUUCCUGGUGUAGCGGUGGAAUGACGUAGAGAUCCGGAAGAACACCAGUGGCGAAGGCGGCUUACUGGUCCGGUACUGGACCGCUGAGGAGCGAAAGCGAUGGGGAGCGAACGGAGGA
rnacentral:rRNA from 1 species